GAUGAAGAACGUAGCGAAAUGCGAUAAGUAAUGUGAAUUGCAGAAUUCAGUGAAUCAUCGAAUCUUUGAACGCACAUUGCGCCCGCUAGUAUUCUGGCGGGCAUGCCUGUCCGAGCGUCAUUUCAACCCUCAAGCCCCCGGGCUUGGUGUUGGGGAUCGGCGAGCCUCCGCGCCCGCCGUCCCCUAAAUCUAGUGGCGGUCUCGCUGUAGCUUCCUCUGCGUAGUAGCACACCUCGCACUGGAAACAGCGCGGCCACGCCGUUAAACCCCCAACUUCUGAACGUUUGACCUCGGAUCAGGUAGGAAUACCCGCUGAACUUAAGCAUAUCAAUAAGCGGAGGA
rnacentral:misc_RNA from 1 species